rnacentral:snoRNA from 12 species
AAAAAAGUAGGGAUCUGGUGCAAUUUCUGAACAUGCCUCUUGUAAACUUUAGGGAUAAGGAUAUGCAAUGUUAUUUGGUGAACUUGUUGAGUUGUCCUGAUGAUUGAUAGUUCAGUAAAGUGCGUGAGUA